GGGGGUAUAGCUCAGCUGGGAGAGCAACAGACUGAAGUUAUCUGAGUCUGGAUUACUAGUUCUUCUGGAGGUCCCCAGUUCAAUCCUGGGUGUCCCCA